GGGGAGGAUAGAGGGAUGAGAGGAGAGGAUAGAGGGAUGAGAGGAGAGGAUAGAGGGAUGAGAGGGGAGGAUAGAGGGAUGAGCGGGGAGGAUAGAGGGAUGAGAGGGGAGGAUAGAGGGAUGAGAGGGGAGGAUAGAGGGAUGAGAGGAGAGGAUAGAGGGAUGAGAUUGGAGAAUAGAGGGAUGAGAGGGGAGGAUAGAGGGAUGAGAGGAGAGGAUAGAGGGAUGAGAGGAGAGGAUAGAGGGAUGAGAGGAGAGGAUAGAGGGAUGAGAGGAGAGUAUUGAGGGAUGAGAGGAGAGGAUAGAGGGAUGAGAAGAGAGGAUAGAGGGAUGAGAGGGGAGGAUAGAGGGAUGAGAAGAAAGGAUAGAGGGAUGAGAGGAGAGGAGAGGAUAGAGGGAUGAGAGGGGAGGAUAGAGGGAUGAGAGUGGAGGAUAGAGGGAUGAGGGAGGGAUGAGAGUGGAUAUCUCUGUGUUCUCUGGGUUGGGUUCUUAUCAGCCCUCCUAUUGGCUGCUUCUAUCGGUGGCCAGUAGUUCGCUGGUCCGUCUCCCCGAUUUGACCUGGUGAGAGAUCUGUUUGCCAUGCUCCUGGGUGUGGUGCUUGACCCUGGUUGCACCUGGGCGUGGUGCUUGACCCUGGUUGCUCCUGGGCGUGGUGCUUGACCCUGGUUGCACCUGGGCGUGGUGCUUGACCCUGGUUGCUCCUGGGCGUGGCGCUUGACCCUGGUUGCUCCUGGGCGUGGUGCUUGACCCUGGUUGCUCCUGGGUGUGGUGCUUGACCCUGGUUGCUCCUGGGCGUGGUGCUUGACCCUGGUUGCUCCUGGGUGUGGUGCUUGACCCUGGUUGCUCCUGGGCGUGGUGCUUGACCCUGGUUGCUCCUGGGCGUGGUGCUUGACCCUGGUUGCUCCUGGGUGUGGUGCUUGACCCUGGUUGCUCCUGGGUGUGGUGCUUGACCCUGGUUGCUCCUGGGCGUGGUGCUUGACCCUGGUUGCUCCUGGGCGUGGUGCUUGACCCUGGUUGCUCCUGUGAGUCUC
rnacentral:lncRNA from 1 species